rnacentral:rRNA from 1 species
UGAGCAAUCUGCCCUUCUCAUCGGAAUAAGCGUUGGAAACGACGUCUAAUGCCGAAUACGACCUCCUUUCGCAUGAUCGGAGGUGGAAAGCUCCGGCGGAGAAGGAUGAGCUCGCGGCCUAUCAGCUAGUUGGUGUGGGUAAAGGCUCACCAAGGCUUCGACGGGUAGCCGGCCUGAGAGGGCGACCGGCCACACUGGGACUGAGAUACGGCCCAGACUCCUACGGGAGCAG